UACGUAGGGAGCAAGCGUUGUCCGGAUUCACUGGGUGUAAAGGGUGCGCCGGCGGAUUUGUUAGUCAGAGGUGAAAUCUCACGGCUUAACCGUGAAACUGCCUUUGAUACUGCAGAUCUUGAGUUUGGGAGAGGUUGAUGGAAUUCCAGGUGUAGCGGUGAAAUGCGUAGAUAUCUGGAAGAACACCAGUGGCGAAGGCGGUCAACUGGCCCAUAACUGACGCUCAGGCACGAAAGCGUGGGGAGCAAACAGG
rnacentral:rRNA from 1 species